AUGAAGGUUAUUCAACUCUCUCAAUUCCUCCUGGCACAUCUGCCUUCAGUGAGUCUUACAGGAGCAACUUGCACUCAGAGGAGCAGCAAGUCAACUUGGCUGUCAACAUAGGCAAGAUUAAAAAGGACCAAGAAGAGAAAGAAGACCAAGGCCCACUGUGCCCCAGGCUCAGCAUGGAGCUGGUGGAAGCAUAAGAGCCUGAAGUCUUCUUGUACUCCCUGGAUAUAUUGUGUUCAACACAUACAGCAUAUCUUGAGUUUUAUUACACAUGCCAGGCUUACACAUAUGCCAUUUUUUUAUUUGUAGAAGAGCAUGUUCGCUUGACUUUGGACAUGGACAGUAGGUUUCUUACUAUGAUGGUGAUAAGACUCCACCUGGUCUCCCGGAUAGGGGUCAUAUUCCCACACUAAGACAACAUGUCACAUGGGACUCUGCCGGUACAGAGUAUGAACAAUGCCAUGUUCUUGCUGAAAACGCUUAGCAUGAGUUUCAUAGCCUGAAGUAAUCUCCAGACAACUUCAGAAUGUUGACCAGUGAGCAGCACUACUGACCUGUCUCCUUCAGACAGCCCAUGUCACCACAAAUCACACAACUAAAAGGAGAAGAGACAUUUUGGGUUGAAAAAGAGUAAAAAGAUAAUGUAGCCACUUUUCUUUAGUUCUUUUGAACCCAAAGUGUCUCCUCAUCUUUUUGUUGUUGUCAUUGAUGGUGGUGACAUGGGCUUGUUUGUAGAGGACAGGUCAGCUGUCCGGCUCAAUGGUCUGUACUCUGAAGUUGUCUGAAAAUGUCCUCAUGAUUAAAUUCAGCCUAAGUGUUUUUCCGGGAACACAGCAGGGUCAAUGCUACCUCACCCAUCUGCAGGUAGAGAAGGUCCCGUGUGUCUCCCACCAUGAUUGUGAUACCAGGACUGUUCCACCAUUUGUCUAUCACCAUGAUCGUGAUGCCAGAUCUGUACCUUUCAGAGACACCUUAUUUAUACUGAAGUAAUUGGAAAAAUGGUUUUUAAAAGUAUUAAUAUCCUGUAUUCAAAUGAUCAUCCCUCAACAUUUUAUUAUUCAUUAAUCAUCCCUGGCUGUGUCAAUAUUAUAUUUACAGCUGUACACUGGAAAUUUUCUAUUUUUACUGUAUCUUUGCUUUUGCUAGUUUCUGUUGUGGAACAAAAAAAAUUCCCUGCCUGCAUUUCAAUUUUUGCCAAAGUUAAUUUUAAUCUAUACAAUGAAAAUUUUUUGUCUUUAAGAUAAGACCGUCAGCAUAAGGCCACAGCAAAACAGAGAUUUUGCUAAUUUUUAAGCCUUUGUUAAUUUCUGGCUGAUGAGAAAGGUAGUUUAUUUAAUUAGCUGCUAAUAUCUAUUUAAGUGAGCAGCCAGAGAAAUAAAUGUCUAUCAGACUAAGGAUAUGCAAAGCCCAGGCCAUUCUUUUUGAGUCUUUUAAACU